CAAUUCGGAAACAAUUCGCACAUUCGCGGUGAAUUUAAAAUAAUGAGUAGAAAUCGCACGUAUAUUAUUGAGAUCCGAUCCCCUAGUACAUAGCAGAGGUGGAAAAGAGCGUGGCCGAAUGUUGCCAUCGUUCAAUGAAAAUUACCGAUUCAUCCCCAAAAUUUUAUUACGAAUACUAUGAUAGUGAUGGUAAGCUUAAAUCGAUCGAACAGGACGAGUUUAGCGAUUUUAUUGGCAUUACAAAUCCCAGUGAAAUUGUUUAUUUGAUGUGCUGUAGAAUGCCAAUUUCAUUAGACGACGACCAAAAGAUGUUGAUUUUCACGCGCGUACGACUUUCGUUGGCAUUUCCCGAUUAUGAGACCCGAUUGCAAUUUGUUUUGGCUCGUCUGCAAGCUUUGUCCGUGCUUGUUUAUUCCAAUUCAUUGCAAGAUAAUAUAAACACUCCCCGUGUACAAAAAAAGUGACUGACUAUUUUGGGACAAACUGACUGACUAUUGACUGUAAAAACAAGCAACCUUAGUUAAACUUAGGUAUCUUCAAUCAAUUAAAGUAAGCUAUGGUUAACUGCAACAGCUCGGGUCUGUUAUAUCCAGGAUUCUUAGAAGAAUUAGUUGAAAUAUUGGAAAUGCGAGAAACCAAACUAGUGGAAAUACGGGCAGCCGCUCUACGAACACUAACAUUGAUAAUCCAAAGGAUCGAGAACUAUCUGUCAAAAUAUUUCCUCCUUUGCCAAGCGAAAUUAACUCGAUAUA